CUCCUGCGCCCCUUUUCUCUCUCACUCCAGAAGACAUCUCGGCAGUGAAUUCAAAACUUGAAUGCAAGGGAAGCCGAAAUGUGGAGUUCCGAUUGCCGGUGGUCUGGCACUUCACAUUGAAAGAACUGUAUUCUGGCUCACAUGAAAGAAUGGCAUUAUUAUCUAGGUCAUCCGUCUUGCCGGUCCCAAGCCCAGGUAAAGGAGGAGGGAGAAGGGCUUCAAGCAAAACUUGGAAAGCUUAAAGAUCAUCUCAGACAAGUGGAGGAUGAAUUUGUUAAGUCUCUAGCAGGUAUGAAUUUGUUAAUUCUGGAUGAUGUUGAAACAGAACAACUGCUUCAAUACCAAUUAGAUGAUGCAAUGCCUUCAUCUCUUAGGAAACAUUUUGAAAUAGACUUUUGCAGCCAUGCACUGAAUGAUGUUGGUAAAUUUUGUUUUGCGAUC